rnacentral:lncRNA from 1 species
GAGAAAAGAAAGAAAAUAAUAUCAAGAAUUUACAAAGAGAAAGAAAGAAAAACUUUUUUUCAAGUUCACAAUAAAUACUAUAGGUAGGUCUUGAAAUAUUAGAGGCUAUCUGGGAUGAUGGUCGGGGAAAUUUGGACUGGCACUGGAAAAUGAGGGUAUAUUGGAUAGGGACAGAAAUUUUGCCUUGCAACAGGCCACCUACGGACCCCUCAAAGAGUUGUUGCAAGAGUUCUUAACGUGCAAAGAGCGUGGCACUUUCUUUACACGAGGCAUCGAAUUUAACGUCACCAAUCUGACCGGACGUGACUGCGAACUUAACACA